GUGCCUUCGAACCCCGCUUAAACCUGCGACGGUUUAAGACUUAAUUUGAAGCCUUCGCAUCGCUUAAGCAGCGAUGAGACGUGCCUCCGCAUAGUUGUCAUUUGCAACUAUUCAUCUAGCCCGAUAACGGUGGUACAAUGCCGAGUAAAAGAGCAAUCUUUACACCCUUGUCGAUCCUGUUUCGCCCCCAUAAAAAUAUAAUCUUUGUUGAUUAUACUUUGGUGGAGGCGCCGGGUACCGCCCCCGGGUCCAAUUGGUUUAUUUCAUUGUCCAU
rnacentral:tmRNA from 1 species